GACGAACGCUGGCGGCGUGCUUAACACAUGCAAGUCGAACGGAAAGGCCCUGCUUUUGUGGGGUGCUCGAGUGGCGAACGGGUGAGUAACACGCGAGUAACCUGCCCUUGACUUUGGGAUAACUUCAGGAAACUGGGGCUAAUACCGGAUAGGAUCUCCUGCUGCAUGUUGGGGGUUGGAAAGUUUCGGCGGUUGGGGAUGGACUCGCGGCUUAUCAGCUUGUUUGUGGGGUAGUGGCUUACCAAGGCUUUGACGGGUAGCCGGCCUGGGAGGGUGAACGGGCACAAUGGGACUAAGGGACGGCCCAGACGCCUACGGGAGGCAGCAGUGGGGAGUAUUGCGCAAUGGGCGGGAGCCUGAUACAGCGAUGCCGCGUGCGGAAUGACGGCCUACGGGUUAUAAACCGCUUUCGCCUGUGACGAAGCGUGAGUGACGGUAAUGGGUAAAAAAGCAACGGCUAACUACGUG
rnacentral:rRNA from 1 species